CCAAUGAUGGAUUCUAUUUCUCACUUACCACAACAGAAGCAUGAAAAUACGGAACUAUUUUAUGUCGCGCAUACAGUCAUAACGUAAUGAAGCCUUAUCACACAUCAUCGAUUUGAGUGUACAGCGAGGUCAACAGUAAAUUAUCAAAUUCAAGAAAAUUAACGGAUUAAACAGUGUUUAAUGUUUAACUUAUAACAGUGGAGAAGAAAACGCGUUAAGAAAUGUAACAACAACUGUUAACAGUGAAUAAUGCUGUUGGGAGUCAAAUACGGAAUUGAUUAGUUUUGAGCUAUUUUUAGACACGGCAUAUUAUACAUGCAGUUCAGACAGCUGAAUUCAGUGAAAACAACAUAAACGACGCUGAAAACUAUCACUGGUCAAUGCGUGGCCUCUUUGGUUGGUCAAUAUGCAGAGAAAUAUUGAAUGUGCCUCCGUAAAUGUUCGAAUUUCCAAAAAUGGAACUCAGUGCACGGUUGGUGUCAAUGUUGAAGGAGGAUGUUUCUUGAAGUUGUGCCUGGGAUAUGUGUACUUGGGAACUUCUUGUUGGUGCUGAAUGGUGGAGAUCCUGUGGCUGUUUUAAAUUGUUACUAUGCUGUGGCACGACAUUCUCUUUCAAGUCUUGGUCAGUUGAAGACAAGAUUCGAUUCUGGACAUAUUUUGCUGAUGCCUGUUAGUGAUCUUCCUGUAGUUGUUUAGAGAAUGUGGAUUUUUGUGACCAGUUACAUGGGCUGCUUGACCAUCUGGAACAUUAUUGUUCAAAAGUUUCUGGCACAAAUGCUUUCUGACACUGGUGUUUGUCAAGCGUUUGUUGUUACGACUAGGUUCAUACUCCUUCCCAUUCUUUUGGCGAACACCGAUAAAAACUGAGAGAUGUGUACAUCCAAUUCUGAUGCAGGUAUCUGGUGAAUUGGACGAAGCUCAUUCUGGAGUGCGAGGCUCUAUUGCUGUGAAGCAUUUGUUUAAAUGGACUUCAAAGCCAAGUGUGUUAACAUGUGGCAGUGGAUCAAUGAUACUUGUAGUUUAGAAAGGGAGCUUGCUCAAAUCAAGACUGGUACAAGGCCAGUUACUAAUAAUUCACUUGAUUUAUCAUUCAAACUAACCUGUGCUGGUAAUGGCAAAAUAGGCUUAGAUUCAGUGGGAGACGCAAUGCUGAAUGCAGGCAUUUCACACAACUUUUCUGCAACAUAAGGAGCCUGAUCAAAGGAUUGCAUGUUUGAGUUGUCAACAAAGGAGAACAAGUUGUUCAGCUCUGUAAGGUCAAAAUCAUCCAAGAUCGAAUCUUCAAAUACAUCUGUUUCAUUUCUCUGAACUGUGGAACUAGAAGAUGUUGUGUAGACUUCAUUUCUUUACACUGUAUCUGUAGCAGUUCUCUUGUUUGUUUGUUUAUCAAAGUUAAAUAAACAGUCUGGUAAACCCUU
rnacentral:lncRNA from 1 species